rnacentral:lncRNA from 1 species
CACACCACCAUGCAGGGAGAAUUUUGGGCGUUCAAGUGCUGAACCAUGCAGUCACAUGGUAUAAAAAUUCGGUCGAUUCUCAGGUUUCCUUAUACAAUCCAAACUCCAUUUGGCAAGGGUUUUGGUGAAAUCUUUGACCUAAACACGUACCAUAUAAAUACUAGACGACCUUGGAACAUUAAUAACUCUCUCUUUGAUAAAGCACAUUAAACAAUUGGGAUUUUGAGAGAGACUGAGAAGGAAUUCAAGGCUUUUGACACCACAUAAAAUGGAUUUCUACUUGUUGGAAGGAAGAUACAUACAGCUGGAGAUUUGAAGGAAGAAUUCAGAGAAAAAUAUCAAGCAAUCAAAGUUUUGAAGAAUCAAUCGGAAGAAGGAGAAGAUUUUGGUACAAGAUUGAUUUCUUAUUCUACAUUCAUAUUCAAAACCGAAUGAUGGCUUCCAUGAAAUUAUUUUAUUUUUCUUCCAUUAAUAUGAGUAGCUAAAACUAGUUUAGGGCGAACAAUAUAAUCAAUUUGGGA